rnacentral:rRNA from 1 species
UACGGAGGGUGCGAGCGUUGUCCGGAAUCACUGGGCGUAAAGGGCGCGUAGGUGGCCUGUGGAAGUCUGCGGUGAAAGCCCGGCGCUCAACGCCGGGUCGGCCGUGGAUACUCUCGGGCUUGAGCUUACUAGAGGCAGAUGGAAUUCCGGGUGUAGCGGUGGAAUGCGCAGAUAUCAGGAAGAACACCCGUGGCUAAGGCGGCUCUCUAGUACGGUACUGACGCUGAGACGCGAAAGCAUGGGGAGCGAACAGG